rnacentral:rRNA from 1 species
GACGAACGCUGGCGGCGUGCUUAACACAUGCAAGUCGAACGGAAAGGCCCUGCUUUUGUGGGGUGCUCGAGUGGCGAACGGGUGAGUAACACGUGAGUAACCUGCCCUUGACUUUGGGAUAACUUCAGGAAACUGGGGCUAAUACCGGAUAGGAGCUCCUGCUGCAUGGUGGGGGUUGGAAAGUUUCGGCGGUUGGGGAUGGACUCGCGGCUUAUCAGCUUGUUGGUGGGGUAGUGGCUUACCAAGGCUUUGACGGGUAGCCGGCCUGAGAGGGUGACCGGCGACAUUGGGACUGAGAUACGGCCCAGACGCCUACGGGAGGCAGCAGUGGGGAGUAUUGCACAAUGGGCGGAAGCCUGAUGCAGCAGCGCCGCGUUCGGGAUGACGGCCUUCGGGUUGUAAACCGCUGUCGCCUGUGACGAAGCGUGAGUGACGGUAAUGGGUAAAGAGGCACCGGCUAACUACGUG